rnacentral:tRNA from 1 species
GCCCUCAUCGUCUAGAGGCCCAGGACAGCGGCCCUUCAAGCCGUCAACAGGGGUUCGAAUCCCCUUGGGGGCACCA